UCCCUGGUGGCUCAGAUGGUAAAGCGUCUGCCUACAAUGUGGGAGACCUGGGUUCGAUCCCUAGGUUGGGAA
rnacentral:tRNA from 1 species